CCUGCACAACUCCCUCCAUGGCGGCCCCCAUCACCUCUCCCGCCGCUUCUGUGGCUCCCGGUCUCCUCGGCGCCGCCCCCAUGCCGGUUCUCUGUCCUAGCCCGCCCGCGACUUGGACUUCUCCUCCUGUCGUCAAGGGCCCUGUCUCCCCUGCGUUUGCUAUGCCUCCCCUCGCCGGUUCCAUGGCUUCACCCCCAACAUACAUGAGCUUUGCCUUGCCCGCUACUCCCGUGGCUCCUGGAUUCUGCGGCCCUCUCCUGGCUUCGCCCAUUUCCAUCGGGAUCACAGUGUGCAUCCGCCUCCACAACGACCACCUUGUCCAAGGCACCUUUGUGGCCUUCGAUCGCGCCAUGAGUCAUGUCCUUCGUGACUGCAUCGAGCUUCAUCCAAAUGCGGGUCAUCACGUGUUUGUA
rnacentral:misc_RNA from 1 species